rnacentral:rRNA from 1 species
CCGGAUAAGCCAUAGACGCUGGAAUGCCCUAUGGUUCAAAGCUCCGGCGCCUAAGGAUGGAUCUGCGGUCUAUCAGGUAGUAGUGGGUGUAACGUACCUACUAGCCGACGACGGAUACGGGUUGUGAGAGCAAGAGCCCGGAGAUGGAUUCUGAGACACGAAUCCAGGCCCUACGGGGUGCAGCAGGCGCGAACACUUUACAAUGCGGGAAACCGCGAUAAGGGAACCCCGAGUGCCAGCAUCAAAUGCUGGCUGUCCAGAUGAUUAAAAAUCAUUUGUUAGCAAGGGCCGGGCAAGACCGGUGCCAGCCGCCGCGGUAACACCGGCGGCCCGAGUGGUAGCCGUUUUUAUUGGGUCUAAAGGGUCCGUAGCCGGCCUGAUAAGUCCUUUGGGAAAUCUGGCAGCUUAACUGUUAGGCUUCUAAGGGAUACUGUCAGGCUUGGGACCGGAAGAGGUAAGGGGUACUCCAGGGGUAGGAGUGAAAUCUUGUAAUCCCUGGGGGACCAUCUGUGGCGAAGGCGCCUUACCAGAACGGGUCCGACGGUGAGGGACGAA